rnacentral:SRP_RNA from 1 species
CAUGCUAGCCGGGGAAUUAGCGGCGCCCUGUACCCACAAUCCGCUACAGUGGGGGUGACGCCCGCCGCAGGCUCUUUUGUUUUUCUGGUCUGCCCUUUGAAUAGGGCGUUGAAGACUGAGUCUUGUGCAACAGGAACUUACGAACCGUGUCAGGUCCGGAAGGAAGCAGCACUAAGUAACCACUUCUGUGUGCCGCAAGGUAGCUUGGUCCGAGCUUGAAGCAAAGGUAACGCUUAAAAGCAGGAGUCGAUAGCGGGUGCAUG